rnacentral:sRNA from 1 species
CAUCAACUAUUGAUAAAAUGACCUUUGAUUAAAAAGGAGGAGAAAAACAAGAAUGUAAUGAGGAAUCAUGCAGAGAGAGAGGAGAAGAAUCAUAUUUCAUAUACUCUAACAGUUCCUUAUCCUUUAUCUAAAGAGAGCUAGCUAACUAUUCACAAAAAAACCUGCAAUUACAGAGCUGCAUCUCGUUGCAUCCAUCCAUCCAUCCAUUCCUGAAAACGAAAUAAAAAGAGAAAACACAAAAUCCUGCAAUAAGCGCCAUUGAGUUAUUUAAGGAAAGGUCGGAGAAAAUCGAAAAACACCUAAGCAACAAAGGGGAAUUUCCGAGAGUUCAAUCAGCCAAACACCCUCCAUCGCCAACCACGCCCAACCAAAAGCUAUGAAACGAAAACAAAGAAAAACGAUGCGGAAAGAAUAAAGGGGAAAAGUGGAAGCAAAAACAAAAAGCAAAAAAGCAAAAAAUCUUCCUCCAAUUUCAAUCCCUCUACAUCACACCUCCCCCGCCUCCUGUCGCCAUCCUCGCGAAAUCCUUCGGCACCUCCCACCCAUGCAUCCGACACGCCCGGAUAUACGCCUCCACCGCCUCCCCAACCCCAUAAUCCCUCACAGUCCCUUUACUGACACUCUGCCCACGAACUAGACGCGCUGGUUGUGGCUCCGUGCUCGAAAUCGCCAUGCGCACCUGUAACAGCACGCUCUCGAUACUCGACGCCGCUGACCAGCCCGAAUUGGUCAGAAGUUCCAUGCACAGGGCGCCACCGGCUGUGACAUGGCCGCCGCCGCCGGCUAGGAAGCUGAGAAAGCGUGGGCGGAUGACACGCACAAAGGGCGGGGAGAUGGGGUAUUCGCUUGGGAAGCGGAGUUCGAGCACGACGGAUUUGAGACCGGCUUGCUUGAGGUCUGUGGCGAGCGGGAGC